rnacentral:other from 1 species
UCGUAACUGAUGUGCACGAUACAAUUAUUAUAUCUUUGUUCCUAAUUUUAAAAUAGGGAUUGAGUAGCUAGAGCUAGUGCGCAUGCCUAGAGAUAGGAAGCCUUAAGUAAUAGACUCAAGCCCACCUGAACUCAAUGGUUCAAGGGAAAAUUAUUGCAACGGCACAUCGGUUUUCAU